rnacentral:rRNA from 1 species
UACGGAAGGCAGCAGGGGGGAAUAUUGCACAAUGGGCGAAAGCCUGAUGCAGCUAUGCCGCGUGUAUGAAGAAGGCCUUAGGGUUGUAAAGUACUUUCAUCGGGGAGGAAAAAACAAAACUAAUAAUUUUAUUUCUUGACGUUACCCGAAAAAGAAGCACCGGCUAACUCCGUGCCAGCAGCCGCGGUAAUACGGAGGGUGCUAGCGUUAAUCAGAAUUACUGGGCGUAAAGAGCACGUAGGUGGUUUUUUUAAGUCAGAUGUGAAAUCCCUGGGCUUAACCUAGGAACUGCAUUUUGAAACUGAAAUACUAGAGUAUCGUAGAGGGAGGUAGAAUUCUAGGUGUAGCGGUGAAAUGCGUAGAUAUCUGGAGGAAUACCUGUGGCGAAAGCGGCCUCCUAAACGAAUACUGACACUGAGGGUGCGAAAGCGUGGGGAGCAAACAGGGAUUAGAUACC